UUUCGCGACUUUUAUGAACUG
rnacentral:piRNA from 1 species